GCAGAACUGAGCUGCUUCUACCAUGGCCUGGACCCCUCUCCUCCUUGGCCUCCUUGCUCACUGCACAGGCUCCGUGGCGUCCUAUGAGCUGACUCAGCCACCCUCACUGUCCGUGGCUCCGGGACAGACAGCAAGGAUCACCUGUGAAGGAAACAAUAUUGGUAAUAAAUACUCUCACUGGUACCAGCAGAAGCCAGGCCAGGCCCCUGUGCUGGUCAUCUAUAGGGAUAGCAAUCGGCCCUCAGGGAUCCCUGACCGAUUCUCAGGCUCCAACUCAGGGAACACAGCCACCCUGACCAUCAGCGGGGUCCAGGCCGAGGACGAGGCUGACUAUUACCUUCAGGUUAAUGCUCACA